rnacentral:rRNA from 1 species
AACGUAGGAGACAAACGUUAUCCGGAGUUACUGGGCAUAAAGGGCGUGCAGGCGGUCGACUAAGUCUGGCGUGAAAGCUCUCGGCUAAACCGGGAGAGGUCGUUGGAUACUGGUUGACUAGAGGACGGUAGAGGCGUGUGGAAUUCCGGGUGUAGUGGUGAAAUGCGUAGAGAUCCGGAGGAACACCAGUGGCGAAGGCGACACGCUGGGCCGUACCUGACGCUGAUACGCGACAGCAUGGGGAGCGAACGGGG